GACGAACGCUGGCGGCGUGCUUAACACAUGCAAGUCGAACGGAAAGGCCCUGCUUGCAGGGUACUCGAGUGGCGAACGGGUGAGUAACACGUGGGUGAUCUGCCCUGCACUUCGGGAUAAGCCUGGGAAACUGGGUCUAAUACCGGAUAGGAGCCAUUUUUUGUGGGAUGGUUGGAAAGUUUUUUCGGUGUAGGAUGAGCUCGCGGCCUAUCAGCUGGUUGGUGGGGUAAUGGCCUACCAAGGCGGCGACGGGUAGACGGCCUGUGAGGGUGGACGGCCACAUUGGGACUGAGAGACGGCCCAGACUGCUACGGGAGGAAGCAGUGGGGAAGAUUGCACAAUGGGCGCAAGCCUGAUGCAGCGACGCCGCGUGUGGGAUGACGGCCUUCGGGUUGUAAACUCCCUUCGCUAGGGACGAAGCUUUUUGUGACGGUACCUAGAGAAGAAGCACCGGCUAACUACGUG
rnacentral:rRNA from 1 species